AGUUUGAUCCUGGCUCAGAAUCAACGCUGGCGGCGUGCCUCAGACAUGCAAGUCGAACGAGAAAGUCCCCUUCGGGGGAUAAGUAAAGUGGCGCACGGGUGAGUAACACGUAGGUAAUCUACCUUCGGGUGGGGAAUAACCCAGGGAAACUUGGGCUAACACCGCAUAAUGCAGCGGCACCACAUGGUGACAGUUGUUAAAGCGGGGGAUUUUCGAACCUCGCGCCUGAAGAGGAGCCUGCGGCGGAUUAGCUAGUUGGUAAGGUAACGGCUUACCAAGGUAACGAUCCGUAGCCGGCCUGAGAGGGCGGUCGGCCACACUGACACUGACAUACGGGUCAGACUCCUACGGGAGGCAGCAGUCGGGAAUUUUGGGCAAUGGGCGAAAGCCUGACCCAGCAACGCCGCGUGAAGGAUGAAAUCCCUCGGGAUGUAAACUUCGCAAGAAUGGGAAGAAUUAGUAGGGGUUAAUACCCCCUAUGAUGACGGUACCAUUUGUAAGCUCCGGCUAACUCCGUGCCAGCAGCCGCGGUAAUACGGGGGGAGCAAGCGUUGUUCGGAUUUACUGGGCGUAAAGGGCGCGUAGGCGGCCAGCGCAAGUCGGUUGCGAAAUCUCCGGGCUUA
rnacentral:rRNA from 1 species